AACGAACGCUGGCGGCAUGCCUAACACAUGCAAGUCGAACGAGACCUUCGGGUCUAUUGGCGCACGGGUGCGUAACGCGUGGGAACCUGCCCUUAGGUUCGGAAUAACUCCCCGAAAGGGGUGCUAAUACCGGAUAAUUUCUUCGGACCAAAGAUUUAUCGCCUUUGGAUGGGCCCGCGUUGGAUUAGCUAGUUGGUAGGGUAAAAGCCUACCAAGGCGACGAUCCAUAGCUGUUCUGAGAGGAUGAUCAGCCACACUGGGACUGAGACACGGCCCAGACUCCUACGGGAGGCAGCAGUGGGGAAUAUUGGACAAUGGGCGGAAGCAUGAUCCAGCAAUGCCGCGUGAGUGAUGAAGGCCUUAGGGUUGUAAAGCUCUUUUAUCCGGGAUGAUAAUGACAGUACCGGGAGAAUAAGCUCCGGCUAACUCCGUG
rnacentral:rRNA from 1 species